CUGAAGCUGGGUUUGUAUGUGUCAGUACAAGAGACUGAAAGAGCAAAGGCCACAAAUCAAGCAUUAAAUACCAAAAACAAUUUUUUUUUCCAUCUUUCAGGAAUCUCUGAAAAUGGCUGGGAAAAAAAUAAAGCUGGGGGCAAAGGCAGAAAGAUCUUGGUACACAGACUACAUAUGGGACCAGGAUACUAUGGUUUGUAGCAGCACAGAUGAUUCCUGACCAGUACACAGAUAGUGUGUAUUAUAAACUGUAUGGGAUGGAAGUGUUUAAAGGCCCUGUCUGGGUCAGGGGACACAUGCUCAUGAAUACCACUGACCCCAGCCUUCAUCUCAGAAGAACCCUGCGGUUCCAGCAGAACAACAGCCUCUCUCAGGUUUAUAAAAAGCUCCUGUUGCUAAGUGCAGCCUUGCUGGCGGACAUGUAUAUGCACCAUUUGCCAAAAGGAAGAGAAAUAUUGAAAAUAACCUGAAAAAAAAUGAGUUCCCUUGUUGCCAGCAUAUAAUGAAAUGGUAAUGGUUCUUUGCUGUGAUUAGCCAGAAGGAGAACGUUACUGACAGAUGGAUGCCAAAAGAAAAGAUCUAAAGGCAACUAACAGUCCUAAAAUGAUGAAAAAGAUUUAAGAAUCACAGUCUGUUGCUAUAGUUUGGACUGCUGAGAAAUUCUAAUGAAGACUGUUCAACCAUACUUUUGGAUUGUAUAUAAUCAGUUCUUGAAAAACCCUAAAUCCCAUUGCAACUUGAUAUUUUUACUAUUCUUAUAAAAUACAUGUCAAGUGUUUUUGCCAUUAAAAAACUUUAGUAUUUUAGAGGGGAUUGAAGCAAAAUGAAGAAAAAGCACCAAUUAAAUAAUCACUUUCUUCAUAUGAGAUCUGAUUUUCCAUAGAGAAAAUUAGAACUGUGGAUCUGUGGAGGACAGAAUACAACAUGAAAUAGAAGAAUACCUCACUGUUUUUGGACAACAGGAAUGCAUAGCUAAAUAAAUAUAGCCCCAUAUUUCUAAUUUCUUUGCA
rnacentral:lncRNA from 14 species